GGCCUGUUGGUCUAGUGGUAUGAUUCUCGCUUUGGGUGCGAGAGGUCCCGGGUUCAAUUCCCGGACGUGCCC
rnacentral:tRNA from 1 species